GGCAACUUAAUCGGCUCCAGAUCAACUAGUGUUUCGUUAUUCUUUACCUCCACUUUCGGGCCAAGAGGGCCUUUAGAGACCUCAGCCUCAUCAGAGGCAAGCAAGUGUAACCCAGGUUUACAUGACACCUUUUCAUUUAAUUCGAUUUAAAUCACAACCCCUUUUAAAAGUUUGUUACUAAUCAGUAAAAAAUACAUGGCUUGUGUAUUGUCGUUCUAAAUAGUGCCACAGAAUGAGAUAAAGAUAUAUAUUGGGAAAAUAUUGCAAAUGAAUGCAUUUAAAUUAUUGAAUCUAAAUAGUAUGGUGUGAUUUGUUAAACCACCUGUAACUCAACAAAGUCGCAUGGCAAGUGGUUUGACUUAGUUAGCCAAUCAGAAAUUAGACCCGCCUCUUUUUAGCGUCAGCAGAUAGCAGUUACGGAGAUUCGUCCUUUUCGGGACGAGCCACAGAUGAGAUUCGACGAUAGACUACUGUUUUUUAAUAGUAACCUAAAGAAGAGAGAUUCCCCGCCACUAAAAGUCCCGAAAAGCCUGUGCAGUAAAUCGAAACCCUUGGCCGGGUUUUUUUGGUUGUGGAUUGAGAUUGGAUCCUGGAUCGUCUGCAUCCUGCUCGCCCUCCCUGGAGGUCUGCAGCGGUGUACAGACUGGCGAGCUACCCCCCAUCGGAGCGAUCCUUUUGAACCCUGAACGGAAGGAGCAGGUGUUGUUGUUUCUGCAGUGUGGUAGGGGCAAGAGACUUUGAUUGAUUUAUUUAUUUUUUAAUCGCACGGACCAAACCGGAGUGGUUUUCCAAAUGGACUGAGUGAAGCUAGAUCUUUGGAGUAAGCUGUUCUCAGUUUUGCUGUGUACUGUUUGUUUUGUUGAGACGUGUGAUUCAGGGAUGUUUUAAUUUGGUCAGAGGUGUUUUAAAUCCUGUUGUUUUAUGUCUUUGUUUUGUUUUGUUUAUGUUUUGUAAGGGAAGACUCUUUUCCAGAGUCUUUUUCUUUAUUUUUCCUGAAUAAUUAGAGGCUUCCUCAUUGCGAAGUGGCCAUAAACAAUAAACAAAAUAUAUAUAUAUAUAUUUGAAAUAUAUCCAUUGCUUCCAUGUGUCAUUCUUGUGCAGACAGUACCAUAUCUCUCCUUACGAACACUAGAAUCUUCUGACGAUCUGGCCCAUAGACACCAGGUAUUGGUUACACA
rnacentral:lncRNA from 1 species